CUCCACCAAACUUCACGGCAUGAAAGACGUCGCAGGAGCAGCUCACCGGCAAUCCACCGGAACACACCAGAACAGGAUGUCGCAUGAGAAAAAACCAUCGAACGACUUUAGAAAAUAAAAAUAUCUUUGCCUCAAUAAAGCUUCAAUUGAACACAAACCAACCUUCAAACAUCGAUUCACCUAGAAGAAACCCUGGACACCUUUGGAGAAAAGAAGAAACUUGAAGAUGUCAUGGCCCUCACAAAGGGGAGGAAGAGACAAUCGCAUGUCAACAUCGGAAGUCAAUCGAACGAUGAAGAUCAAGGAAGCGUAGAUCUAACAUAAUCCGGAUGAAGUCUGGAGAUAAUCCAACAACGCCACCGAUGAACAAGCGGACAUCGUGGAAAUCAAAGCCAGCGAUCACCAGAGUGUCUGAUGUAUCGCUGGAGCCAAGAGCCGGAAGCUCCGUCAAAGAAAACGCGAGAAAACCGGAGCCAAAGAAAGCCGACCACCGUAAGAAAGGUGCGACGCUGGAAGAGGUCCAACUAUGGCCGCAAUCACCGUAAACUACUGGCUUGAGUUUUCUCUCAUACCUUCCUUUGUGUAAAAUUGCUGAGAGAGAACAGAGCAGAAGGAGAGAGAAAAACUUUUUUUUCUUAUCCAAACAUAUAUUUAACAGUACAUGACUAACAUUAAACAUUAAGUCACGGAAACAUGCAUGUAACAACCGAUACAAAUGGUCAAAAAUUAACGAAUUUUUUACCCUUUAAGACACAUUUCCACUUUCUAUUUACACAAUCAGACACAUGUUGAUGGAGACACACUUUCUGUGUGUCGAUUGUCUCUUAUACCCUUAACUUUGUUUUUCCUCAAUAUCCUUUCUUUUGUAUUUAACUUUUCCUAACGAAAACAACAAUUUGUCUGAUUGGACACACUUCUCAAUUAAAAGUAAAAUAAAAUCCAUCUUUUAUCUCUCAUAUUUCGAGACAAAAAUUAAAAUCACUUUCAUAAUUUCUGACGAUCCCCUUUCAUCUUCUACCCCCAAACCUUGUUCAGCUUCAAAAAACCAUGGCAAAAUCAAAGUCGAAGAAGAAAGGGAAGCUCAAUAGUCAACUUUAUUCACCGCAUAUCGACAUUGGAGGUUUGUAUUUCAAAUUCCUUAACUCUUUUUGACUUGUUGUAAUUUCCCAAUUGAAUCAAAUCUUUUAGAUUUUGUGGAUGGGAGAGAAGACGAACAGAUCCGAGCUCCGGUGUGGAGAGGACGAUGCGACGGCGAGCAGGUCCGAGAUCCGUUGUGUAUAGGACGACGGGACGGCGAGCAGGUCCGAGCUCCGUUGUGGAGAGGACGCGACGACGAGCUCAAUUUUGAUAUUUACAUGUUCAAAUAUCAAUUUCUUUCUUCGUAUCAGAAUGUCAAUCGGGAUGGUCCGUAUAUUUUGUUAAGGAAAGAUAUGAGAAGUUGGUAAAAGCUUCUGUUUCAAAAUUAGUAAUUGUUAUGGUUUUGUUCACGAGGUUGUUGGAGAAACCUAAUGAUGAAACACCACUCAAUCUGAUGAAUUCAUGUCCUGUUGCUGUUUUAGAAGAGUAUCCUAAUAUCAUCUUUGCAUAUGGAUAGUCAUUUUCACAGGUAAUAGUUGUCCACAAAAAGAAUUUUAGGAGAUUAUAACUUGUAUAUAAGAGUUUUUCAAGUUUUUCUCCAUCCAUCCAUGUCCACAUCUUUUCUAUUAACAUUAGUUAACAAGACUUUGGCAUUUUUGAUCUAGUAUACUUGUUUGGCAUUUCAAUUGAUUGUUUGUAUGUCGUGUCAAUACUCCUUUGUGUUUGGUUACUAGUGGCUCAAUUCACAGUUUAGUUGUUUCAAUGUCUUGCAGGAGCUCGAUCAUACGCAAGUGAAGGACCUAAAGACUACAAUCUACUUGGUAACGUGAAACCACGUUUCUCAAAUCAACAUUAAUCCUUGUGCACAUUUUUUUAUAUACAUUAAUUGUGUCCAUGUCCACACCUACUUCUCCUGAACUUGAUGUGACGAAACCCCAAGACAUGGUUCGUCUGGGAGUUUGAGUUUGUUAGCUGAAGCUUAUGAUCGAUGCGUUCAAGUGUGUGCUGAAUAUGCUAAAACUUUUUUAUCUUGAGAAAGCACACUUACAAGAUGAGGGCAUCUUCCAGUACUCAUGUUUCUACACUCGGCAGCUUCUAGAGUUUAUAUACAUUUGCUGAACCUCAUUCACGUGUACACAACUUUCUCACCCGUGUUUUGUUCGACCGAUAAAGCUUUUAUCCAUAUGUUUUAUGUCCACGUCCACGAAGACAUAUUCAAUAAUUUAUACUUUGCAGUAUUUAAUAAAAUACUAAAAUAUAAAGUAUAUGGAUAUCAAAAAAUAUAUAUAAAUCAUUGUAUACAUAUAUUACAUUUGAAUUUACAUAUUAGAAAACAAAUAAUAAGGAACAUAAUAUGAUGGGAUAUAAAAGAUGUUCCAAAUGUUAGCAAAAUAAAAUAAAGAUAAUCUCUAAUAUGAAUUUAUACACAACACUCUUAUCAAACAUUCCAUAAGUCAACAAAAUUCACAUCCACAUUUUUUAUGUACAUAUGAAGCCAUUAACUAGUAAAAUAAAAUUCGAAAAUAUAAUAAAAUAUUAAAACUAUAUAUAUAU